rnacentral:rRNA from 1 species
GGUCAAGUGAAGAAGCGCAUACGGUGGAUGCCUUGGCAGUCAGAGGCGAUGAAAGACGUGGUAGCCUGCGAAAAGCUUCGGGGAGUCGGCAAACAGACUUUGAUCCGGAGAUCUCUGAAUGGGGGAACCCACCUAGGAUAACCUAGGUAUCUUGUACUGAAUCCAUAGGUGCAAGAGGCGAACCAGGGGAACUGAAACAUCUAAGUACCCUGAGGAAAAGAAAUCAACCGAGAUUCCCUUAGUAGUGGCGAGCGAACGGGGAUUAGCCCUUAAGCUUCAUUGAUUUUAGCGGAACGCUCUGGAAAGUGCGGCCAUAGUGGGUGAUAGCCCCGUACGCGAAAGGAUCUUUGAAGUGAAAUCGAGUAGGACGGAGCACGAGAAACUUUGUCUGAACAUGGGGGGACCAUCCUCCAAGGCUAAAUACUACUGACUGACCGAUAGUGAACCAGUACCGUGAGGGAAAGGCGAAAAGAACCCCGGAGAGGGGAGUGAAAUAGAACCUGAAACCGUAUGCGUACAAGCAGUGGGAGCCUACUUGUUAGGUGACUGCGUACCUUUUGUAUAAUGGGUCAGCGACUUAUAUUCAGUGGCAAGCUUAACCGUAUAGGGUAGGCGUAGCGAAAGCGAGUCUUAAUAGGGCGUUUAGUCGCUGGGUAUAGACCCGAAACCGGGCGAUCUAUCCAUGAGCAGGUUGAAGGUUAGGUAACACUGACUGGAGGACCGAACCCACUCCCGUUGAAAAGGUAGGGGAUGACUUGUGGAUCGGAGUGAAAGGCUAAUCAAGCUCGGAGAUAGCUGGUUCUCCUCGAAAGCUAUUUAGGUAGCGCCUCAUGUAUCACUCUGGGGGGUAGAGCACUGUUUCGGCUAGGGGGUCAUCCCGACUUACCAAACCGAUGCAAACUCCGAAUACCCAGAAGUGCCGAGCAUGGGAGACACACGGCGGGUGCUAACGUCCGUCGUGAAAAGGGAAACAACCCAGACCGCCAGCUAAGGUCCCAAAGUUGUGGUUAAGUGGUAAACGAUGUGGGAAGGCUUAGACAGCUAGGAGGUUGGCUUAGAAGCAGCCAUCCUUUAAAGAAAGCGUAAUAGCUCACUAGUCGAGUCGGCCUGCGCGGAAGAUGUAACGGGGCUCAAACCACACACCGAAGCUGCGGGUGUCACGUAAGUGACGCGGUAGAGGAGCGUUCUGUAAGCCUGUGAAGGUGAGUUGAGAAGCUUGCUGGAGGUAUCAGAAGUGCGAAUGCUGACAUGAGUAACGACAAUGGGUGUGAAAAACACCCACGCCGAAAGACCAAGGGUUCCUGCGCAACGUUAAUCGACGCAGGGUUAGUCGGUUCCUAAGGCGAGGCUGAAAAGCGUAGUCGAUGGGAAACAGGUUAAUAUUCCUGUACUUCUGGUUACUGCGAUGGAGGGACGGAGAAGGCUAGGCCAGCUUGGCGUUGGUUGUCCAAGUUUAAGGUGGUAGGCUGAAAUCUUAGGUAAAUCCGGGGUUUCAAGGCCGAGAGCUGAUGACGAGUCGUCUUUUAGAUGACGAAGUGGUUGAUGCCAUGCUUCCAAGAAAAGCUUCUAAGCUUCAGGUAACCAGGAACCGUACCCCAAACCGACACAGGUGGUCGGGUAGAGAAUACCAAGGCGCUUGAGAGAACUCGGGUGAAGGAACUAGGCAAAAUGGCACCGUAACUUCGGGAGAAGGUGCGCCGGCUAGGGUGAAGGAUUUACUCCGUAAGCUCUGGCUGGUCGAAGAUACCAGGCCGCUGCGACUGUUUAUUAAAAACACAGCACUCUGCAAACACGAAAGUGGACGUAUAGGGUGUGACGCCUGCCCGGUGCCGGAAGGUUAAUUGAUGGGGUUAGCGCAAGCGAAGCUCUUGAUCGAAGCCCCGGUAAACGGCGGCCGUAACUAUAACGGUCCUAAGGUAGCGAAAUUCCUUGUCGGGUAAGUUCCGACCUGCACGAAUGGCGUAACGAUGGCGGCGCUGUCUCCACCCGAGACUCAGUGAAAUUGAAAUCGCUGUGAAGAUGCAGUGUAUCCGCGGCUAGACGGAAAGACCCCGUGAACCUUUACUGUAGCUUUGCACUGGACUUUGAGCCUGCUUGUGUAGGAUAGGUGGGAGGCUUUGAAGCGUGGACGCCAGUUCGCGUGGAGCCAUCCUUGAAAUACCACCCUGGCAUGCUUGAGGUUCUAACUCUGGUCCGUGAUCCGGAUCGAGGACAGUGUAUGGUGGGCAGUUUGACUGGGGCGGUCUCCUCCUAAAGAGUAACGGAGGAGUACGAAGGUGCGCUCAGACCGGUCGGAAAUCGGUCGCAGAGUAUAAAGGCAAAAGCGCGCUUGACUGCGAGACAGACACGUCGAGCAGGUACGAAAGUAGGUCUUAGUGAUCCGGUGGUUCUGUAUGGAAGGGCCAUCGCUCAACGGAUAAAAGGUACUCCGGGGAUAACAGGCUGAUACCGCCCAAGAGUUCAUAUCGACGGCGGUGUUUGGCACCUCGAUGUCGGCUCAUCACAUCCUGGGGCUGAAGCCGGUCCCAAGGGUAUGGCUGUUCGCCAUUUAAAGUGGUACGCGAGCUGGGUUUAGAACGUCGUGAGACAGUUCGGUCCCUAUCUGCCGUGGACGUUUGAGAUUUUGAGAGGGGCUGCUCCUAGUACGAGAGGACCGGAGUGGACGAACCUCUGGUGUUCCGGUUGUCACGCCAGUGGCAUUGCCGGGUAGCUAUGUUCGGAAAAGAUAACCGCUGAAAGCAUCUAAGCGGGAAACUUGCCUCAAGAUGAGAUCUCACUGGGAACUUGAUUCCCCUGAAGGGCCGUCGAAGACUACGACGUUGAUAGGCUGGGUGUGUAAGCGUUGUGAGGCGUUGAGCUAACCAGUACUAAUUGCCCGUGAGGCUUGACCAU